UACGGAGGGGGCUAGCGUUGUUCGGAUUUACUGGGCGUAAAGGGCGCGUAGGCGGAUGCUCGCGUCAGAGGUGAAAGCCCCCGGGCUCAACCUGGGAACUGCCUUUGAAACGGGACAUCUUGAGUUCGGGAGAGGGUAGCGGAAUUCCCAGUGUAGAGGUGAAAUUCGUAGAUAUUGGGAAGAACACCGGUGGCGAAGGCGGCUACCUGGCCCGAUACUGACGCUGAGGCGCGAAAGCGUGGGGAGCAAACAGGAUUAGAUACCCGUGUAGUCCCUGAGCGGGCUGGCAA
rnacentral:rRNA from 1 species